AGAGUUUGAUCCUGGCUCAGGACGAACGCUGGCGGCGUGCUUAACACAUGCAAGUCGAGCGGAAAGGCCCUUCGGGGUACUCGAGCGGCGAACGGGUGAGUAACACGUGAGCAAUCUGCCCUUAGCUUCGGGAUAGCUCCGGGAAACCGGGAUUAAUACCGAAUAGGACUGCGGCCGACAUCAGCCGCGGUGGAAAGAUU
rnacentral:rRNA from 1 species